rnacentral:tRNA from 1 species
AGUAAGAUAAUGUCUGUUAAUAUUUUCAAGGUUAAAAGUGUAUACUUAUAUGAAUUU